GUUAAACUAUUAAACUAAGUUAUACUACGCCGGUAAAAAGACAGUUAGGAUAGAAUUAGUUAAUUGAUUUCCUAUAUAAAAGUAAAAUUUAAUAUACCAUAAUAAUACAAUAACAACUUUAGUUUCUGAAUCUGUGAUACCUUUAGGGGAAACUGGGAUUGGAUACCCCAUUAUUUAUAGAUGUAAAUAAAGAUUACCAGAGCACUACGAAUAAAUAGUUUAAAACUAAAAGACCUUGGCGGUGUUUUAGAUUUUUAGGGGAACCUGUCUUAAAAUCGACAAUCCACGUUAAACCUUACCUUUUUUAGUUAUCAGCUUGUAUACCGUUGUCAUCAGGUAACUUUUACAGAAAGAAAUAGUUAGCCAAAAAAUCUACUUAAUUAAGAUGUCAAAUCAAGGUGCAACUUAUAAAGAGGGAAAGAUGGGUUACAAUUAUAAAUUAUAAUACGGAAAGUGUAUUGAAAAUAUCUUGAAGGAGGACUUAAAAGUAACUAUAUUACAUAUAUAAAUAACUUGAAUAAAACCCUAAAACACGCACACAU
rnacentral:rRNA from 1 species